AUUGAACGCUGGCGGAAUGCUUUACACAUGCAAGUCGAGCGGCAGCGCGGGGCAACCUGGCGGCGAGCGGCGAACGGGUGAGUAAUGCAUCGGAACAUGUCCAUGUCGUGGGGGAUAGCCCGGCGAAAGCCGGAUUAAUACCGCAUACGCCCGAGAGGGGAAAGUGGGGACCGCAAGGCCUCACGCGAUUGGGUUGGCCGAUGUCCGAUUAGCUAGUUGGCGGGGUAAUGGCCCACCAAGGCGAUGAUCGGUAGCUGGUCUGAGAGGAUGAUCAGCCACACUGGGACUGAGACACGGCCCAGACUCCUACGGGAGGCAGCAGUGGGGAAUUUUGGACAAUGGGGGCAACCCUGAUCCAGCCAUUCCGCGUGAGUGAGGAAGGCCUUAGGGUUGUAAAGCUCUUUCACCCGCGACGAUGAUGACGGUAGC
rnacentral:rRNA from 1 species